rnacentral:rRNA from 1 species
CUGAAUGGAAGGGCCAUCGCUCAACGGAUAAAAGGUACUCCGGGGAUAACAGGCUGAUACCGCCCAAGAGUUCAUAUCGACGGCGGUGUUUGGCACCUCGAUGUCGGCUCAUCACAUCCUGGGGCUGAAGUAGGUCCCAAGGGUAUGGCUGUUCGCCAUUUAAAGUGGUACGCGAGCUGGGUUUAGAACGUCGUGAGACAGUUCGGUCCCUAUCUGCCGUGGGCGCUGGAGAACUGAGGGGGGCUGCUCCUAGUACGAGAGGACCGGAGUGGACGCAUCACUGGUGUUCGGGUUGUCAUGCCAAUGGCACUGCCCGGUAGCUAAAUGCGGAAGAGAUAAGUGCUGAAAGCAUCUAAGCACGAAACUUGCCCCGAG